UCUAUCUACCCAUCUGUCCUGCCACAAAACAGAUCAUUCUCAACAGCAGUGGAAAUAGAAUCAGCUCCAUUGCCUGGGAAUCAUUCUUGUCAGGAGUGCUUUCGUUCUAACCUAGGUAAAGGAUCCAAACAAGCAGACUACACACAGAAAGAUGACUUCAUUUCUUCACCGAGUGUUUCGUGAGUGUCUGCUGCAUGCUGGACACUAGCAAAGGCAGAAGGAAUUCAACCACAACUGAAAUGAACACCGGGUAUCCAAGGGCAGGAGGAAAAUGCUGGAGAAAGGACCUCAAGUCAAGUGAUGGAUGGCUUCAAGGAAGGCACAACAGAGAGCUGUUGGGGUCCAGGAGAAGAAAUCUGCAGUACAAGUAUUAUCAUGUCAUUUCACUAAUGGACAAGUACAAGUUUGGGAUCACCGUCCUCCUGCCUGUUAAAGUGUGUCCUCUCAG
rnacentral:lncRNA from 1 species